rnacentral:lncRNA from 13 species
UUUAGGGUGCACCCAGUAGCACCCAGUAGGUGAUAGAGUUUAGGGUGCACCCAGUAGCAUCCAGUAGGUGAUAGAGUUUAGGGUGCACCCAGUAGGUGACAGACUUUAGGGUGAACCCAGUAGGUGACAGACUUUAGGGUGAACCCAGUAGGUGAUAUGAUAAAGGUCAAAGGCAUUCAAUAACACAAUUAAGUGAAUAAAUGUGUUGGAUCCAUAAAGUCUGUUUUUUUUGUAUGGCAGUAAACUGUAUUGUGGUGGGGGGAACACAGUAGUCAAACGUAUGUUGAAUUUCUCUUGACAGACAUUGACCCUGAGCUGAAAUAGUGAUCCAUUAAUACCCAAGCGAUGGUAUGAGGAGGACAAAGAGGAGGAAUGACAUCCCUUCUUCAUGGGGAAGAGAGAGUAAAGUCUAACAUCCCUGUUUUCUCAGAGCAGUCAAAAUCUCUGGACUGUUUCCUGUCUGGGUCAUUCCCAUCCCUCCAUGUGGAGGAACACAGGAAGUAACUACCCUCUAGGUGCUCUGAAUGUCAGAAUGUGGUGAGGACAUUGCUCGGGGGCCUGAUUCAUGUUAUCAUCACACUCCAAAGCUUCACACGUUCCCCUCGUUCAUCUCCCACGCUGGAGCUAGGAGCCUUAAGGGCCAGUGACAUCACCAGGAAAAUGAACCUCUCUUCCUGCUUUACUGUGACUAGAGUACAGCCACUGGCUAAGUAGAGAACGAGAGAGGAGAGAGGUAUGGUAGGUUCUGAGAAGUGGAAAUCUAGGGGCUUAGAGAAACCAAUCAACUCAAUUUGAUUGGUUGGAAAUGCACAUGCUUAUGAUGCACAUGCUUGAUGAUUACUGUGUUGUCACUUCUCAUGCUUGGUGAUUACUGUGUGUGUUGUUCCUUCUCAUGCUUGAUGAUUACUGUGUUGUCACUUCUCAUGCUUGAUGAUUACUGUGUUGUCCCUUCUCAGCAAGACUUUAAAGGCUGACUGUUGUGAUUUACAGUAUAAAGUCAAAUUAAUUCCGAGAUGGACUGUUCCAAAUAAAGGCGUUUCUGCUGUCUUCUUGGAGUAAUUGACACAGAAGUACAAAUGUUUGUUUUAAAAGACAACAUCAGCAUAUGUUUACAAACAAUGUGCAAACAACGGGAUUAAGUGACUCUGAUAAAUCAACUUGUUUUUGUAUCUGGUGAGUCACAGGCCUGAGACUUGAAGUCAUCUUUUGGAUGGAACAACAUUGUGCUUGAACACAUCUUGGUGUGGUUACCCGCUCUGAUGUAGGCAUUCAAAUCGGAAACACGCCAAAUUUUUCCCUUAGCGUACGCCUUGGUGACUCCAAACAUGGCAUAACAUUUACGUUUCCGAGAUAUCCUGGGAUGUUGAGUCGCAUGCAGACCCUCAUAAGGAAGAGUACCUGACGGGAUGUUACAGAGGCUGUAUGAGUGACAUAAAAACCAGCUGUUACAUUCACCACUCCUAGCUAGCACAGAGCGGAGACAUGGAGCUCUGUGAUGUCAUCCGGAACACUCUCAUUCUCACUGUGUAAUGGAAAGAAUUCUGGCAUCACUCGGCUUUUUACAGAAAUAUACAGUCAUUUGACAGUGUGACUUGGAGAAUUCACACAUGCUCCAAUUGGGGCCAUUUUCUCAGCCCCACAAAAUACAAUUACCCACAGCACUUGUCACGCUUGUUGGAUGAUUCUGAAGUCGUCCGUUGACUGCACCUUCAUAAUCUCGAAAUGAGGUACUCUUGUGGGCCUAAUAACUUACAUCAUUAGAGGGAAUGUUCUGU